UACGUAGGGUGCGAGCGUUAAUCGGAAUUACUGGGCGUAAAGCGUGCGCAGGCGGUUCUGAAAGUCAGCUGUGAAAGCCCCGGGCUUAACCUGGGAAUGGCGGUUGAAACUACAGGACUAGAAUCUGGCAGAGGGGGGUGGAAUUCCACGUGUAGCAGUGAAAUGCGUAGAGAUGUGGAGGAACACCGAUGGCGAAGGCAGCCCCCUGGGCUGAGAUUGACGCUCAGGCACGAAAGCGUGGGGAGCAAACAGGG
rnacentral:rRNA from 1 species